rnacentral:tRNA from 2 species
GGAGAGAUGUCUGAGUGGACUAAAGCGAUAGAUUGCUAAUGUGUUGUACAUUUUUUUAUACCGAGGGUUCAAAUCCCUCUCUUUCCG